rnacentral:rRNA from 1 species
GAUGAACGCUAGCUACAGGCUUAACACAUGCAAGUCGAGGGGCAGCAUGGGGGUUGCUUGCAAUCCCCGAUGGCGACCGGCGCACGGGUGAGUAACGCGUAUCCAACCUGCCCUUCACCACGGGAUAACCCGGCGAAAGUCGGACUAAUACCGUAUGUUGUCCAUUGACGGCAUCCGAUUUGGACGAAAGGUUUGGCGGGGAAGGAUGGGGAUGCGUCCGAGUAGCUGGACGGCGGGGUGACGGCCCACCGGGGCGACGAUCGGUAGGGGUUCUGAGAGGGAGGUCCCCCACACUGGAACUGAGACACGGUCCAGACUCCUACGGGAGGCAGCAGUGAGGAAUAUUGGUCAAUGGGCGUAAGCCUGAACCAGCCAAGUAGCGUGCAGGAUGACGGCCCUAUGGGUUGUAAACUGCUUUUAUGCGGGGAUAAAGUGGCCCACGUGUGGGUUUUUGCAGGUACCGCAUGAAUAAGGACCGGCUAAUUCCGUG